rnacentral:misc_RNA from 1 species
GAAAUGCGAUAAGUAAUGUGAAUUGCAGAAUUCAGUGAAUCAUCGAAUCUUUGAACGCACAUUGCGCCCGCCAGUAUUCUGGCGGGCAUGCCUGUUCGAGCGUCAUCUCCACCAUCAGGCCCCCGGGCCUGUGUUGGGGACCUGCGGCUGCCCGCAGGCCCCGAAAUUCAGUGGCGGUCGCGCCGUAGCAACCGAGCGUAGUAACUAAAACGUCUCGCUCUGGCUCGCUGGGCGCGCUCCGGCCGUAAAACACCCCCCCUUUUCGCAAAGGUUGACCUCGGAUCAGGUAGGAAUACCCGCUGAACUUAAGC